GAUGAACGCUGGCGGCGUGCCUAAUACAUGCAAGUCGAGCGAACGGACGAGAAGCUUGCUUCUCUGAUGUUAGCGGCGGACGGGUGAGUAACACGUGGAUAACCUACCUAUAAGACUGGGAUAACUUCGGGAAACCGGAGCUAAUACCGGAUAAUAUUUUGAACCGCAUGGUUCAAAAGUGAAAGACGGUCUUGCUGUCACUUAUAGAUGGAUCCGCGCUGCAUUAGCUAGUUGGUAAGGUAGCGGCUUACCAAGGCAACGAUGCAUAGCCGACCUGAGAGGGUGAUCGGCCACACUGGAACUGAGACACGGUCCAGACUCCUACGAGAGGCAGCAGUAGGGAAUCUUACGCAAAGGGCGAAAGCCUGACGGAGCAACGCCGCGUGAGUGAUGAAGGUCUUCGGAUCGUAAAACUCUGUUAUUAGGGAAGAACAGAUGUGUAAGUAACUGUGCACAUCUUGACGGUACCUAAUCAGAAAGCCACGGCUAACUACGUG
rnacentral:rRNA from 1 species